AGACUGACCCGCCGCCCCUCCCCCGCGCGCGCUCCCGCUCGGCUCCAUCCACCCAACCAGGAAGUGAACCGUCGCCGGAAGUGCCGCUCGGGACAGCAAGGUGAGGAGCCGAGGCCCUCCUGUUGCUGCCGCCGGGUCGCGACAGACGAGAAGGAGUCGUGGAAGAGAAGGGGACCCGGGAGAGGGGUGUCUCGGUGUGGAGAGAGUUUUGGAAAAGAACUUUUAUCGCCCGGCCCGCAGGGCACCAUGGGAAACGUAGUUCGGCACAAGCCACCCGCUGCACUACAACUCCCAGGAUGCCCCUGAAGGAGCGAGCGAGGAGGCUGCGGUGGCCUCCUCGGCCUCGAAGAUUCCCUCCUUCCUCCUUCCUUGAUGUUUAUUUUACCCUGAUAUCGCCUGAGUGCCAAAGUCCACUUGGAGGACAAUGUGGUUUUCAUCAGCCAAAUGCAGAAGAUUUGGAAGGCCAGUUAGUACCCUUCUACAUCCCUAGAUUUCCUGAUCGACGAUGCUGAAGCAGGUCACUCAGGAGGUGAAUCUGAGAGAGAACACGAGAGGAGGCAGUUUCAACAGGAGGCUGCUACAGGAAUCCAUGUAAGAGAUCAUGGUGGAAAAUGGCUCCCAAGUUCUUGGCUUAACCAUUGGCUGGAGGUAAGAGCAGAGACAAAAAGAACUGCAUUUUGGUCAUUUCAAGGUUUAAGUAUCUGAGACAUUUAGGUGGG
rnacentral:lncRNA from 1 species